UGCAACCCGACUCCACGAAGCUGGAUUCGCUAGUAAUCGCGCAUCAGCCACGGCGCGGUGAAUACGUUCCCGGGCCUUGUACACACCGCCCGUCAAGCCAUGGGAGCCGGGGUACCUGAAGUGCGUAACCGCGAGGAGCGCCCUAGGGUAAAACUGGUGACUGGGGCUAAGUCGUAACAAGGUAGC
rnacentral:rRNA from 1 species